UACGUAGGGGGCAAGCGUUAUCCGGAAUUAUUGGGCGUAAAGCGCGCGCAGGCGGUUGAUUAAGUCAGAUGUGAAAGGCUACGGCUCAACCGUAGAGUUGCAUUUGAAACUGGUUAACUUGAGUGCAGGAGAGGUAAGUGGAAUUCCCGGUGUAGCAGUGGAAUGCGUAGAGAUCGGGAGGAACACCAGUGGCGAAGGCGGCUUACUGGCCUGCAACUGACGCUGAGGCGCGAAAGCGUGGGGGAGCGAACAGGAUUAGAACCGU
rnacentral:rRNA from 1 species